UGGGCAAUCUGCCCUAAAGACUGGGAUACCACUUGGAAACAGGUGCUAAUACCGGAUAACAACAUGAAUCGCAUGAUUCAAGUUUGAAAGGCGGCGCAAGCUGUCACUUUAGGAUGAGCCCGCGGCGCAUUAGCUAGUUGGUGGGGUAAAGGCCUACCAAGGCAAUGAUGCGUAGCCGAGUUGAGAGACUGAUCGGCCACAUUGGGACUGAGACACGGCCCAAACUCCUACGGGAGGCAGCAUG
rnacentral:rRNA from 1 species